rnacentral:misc_RNA from 1 species
UCCGGCUUAUCACCGGCAGUUUCUUUAGAGUGCCCAACUAAAUGGUAGCAACUAAAGACGAGGGUUGCGCUCGUUGCGGGACUUAACCCAACAUCUCACGGCACGAGCUGACGACAGCCAUGCAGCACCUGUGCUGGCUCCCCUUGCGAGGUCAUCCCCGUUUCCGGUUCUUACCACCAGCAUGUCAAACCUGGGUAAGGUUCUUCGCGUCGCUUCGAAUUAAGCCACAUGCUCCGCCGCUUGUGCGGGCCCCCGUCAAUUUCUUUGAGUUUUAAUCUUGCGACCGUACUUCCCAGGCGGCACGUUUAACGCGUUGGCUACGCCACAAAAGGGGUCGAAUCCUUUUACAGCAAACGUGCACCGUUUACGGCUAGGACUAC